AUGGAGGCAUGCGAGAUCGCCCGCCUGCUGGAGGAGCUCCUGUCGGCAGCCUUAUCCCGCACGUCGCCGCGCGACGCCUGCCGUGCCGCGGCUGUCUCCGCGGCCUUCGGGACGGCGGCCGACUCCGACGCCGUCUGGGCCUGCUUCCUGCCCAGCGGUCGUGACCUCCCGCUGCUCGCUGACGGAGAGCAGCUGCCAUGCAGGAAGAAGGACCUGUUCCUCCGCCUCUCCGGCAGCCCGGUCCUCCUCCCAGGCGGACUCCUGAGCAUGUGGCUGGACAGAGAGACCGGCGCCGGGUGCUACAUGGUGCCGGCGAGGGAGCUGUCCAUCGGAUGGGGCGCUCUCGCCGACUCGAGGUCUUCCGAGAGUGCUGAACUCAUACUAGUUUGCUGGCUGUAUAUCCGCGGCAAGAUAGAUAGCAAGAUGCUCUCCCAAGGCUCAAUAUACUCAGUGUACAGGGUGUACAAGUUUGCCAAUUAUUUGUAUGGAUUGUCCGACGGUUACUACGGGCUAGAAUUGCCGGUCCAGAAGGCAUCAGUGAGCGUCGGAGACAACCACCAAAUCCGCAAGGUCUGCAUCCAUCCUAACCAGCAAAGAAGCAUGAGACGGAACUGUCAUGCAACGCUUCCUCACAAAAGAGCUGAUGGUUGGAUGGAGCUGGAGCUGGGCGAGUUUGUUUGCGAGGGGCAUGAAGAUGGGGACGUGUCGUUCGGUCUAUCAGAGAUGAAAGAUUUGAGUAGGAAGAACGGUCUUAUCGUGCAGGGUAUUGAGAUUAGGCAUAAGAUUUGA
rnacentral:rRNA from 1 species